rnacentral:lncRNA from 1 species
UUACUGGGUAUAUAAUAGGUGACCAACCAGGCGUGAAUUGGUGUAGCACCUCAAAUUUGCACCUCCCAUUUUGUACAUUCAUUUUCAUGUUUAGGUCAUUAACAUUACAUUGUCCACUGCAUAGCAUUGCAUUGUCCAUUUGCCCAAGUGCAAGUCAUCAGACAAGAUUAGGUCAAGACUGGUUAGGAGGAUCAGUUAAUCAAGCAAGCAUGUGCAUAUCCUAUUGAAGCAAAUCCAAAG